CUUUAUUGGAGAGUUUGAUCCUGGCUCAGGAUGAACGCUGGCGGCGUGCCUAAUACAUGCAAGUCGAGCGAAUGGAUUAAGAGCUUGCUCUUAUGAAGUUAGCGGCGGACGGGUGAGUAACACGUGGGUAACCUGCCCAUAAGACUGGGAUAACUCCG
rnacentral:rRNA from 2 species